GUCGGGGGAGUGUCCUGCCCUAUUUUUUUACCGCCGACUCUCAUUUUUUCGGCAUCCACAGGCUUCCCUGGAUGUGGGCUUUCGGGAAGGCUCUGUUACUUUCCAGUCUUUUCCAGGGUAAAUUUAUCCACCACUGAGGGAGAACCCCAGCGGCUGCUGCCCCCGUGGAAAGGGUGCCGAGAGGAAGAGCUGCAGCCCAAGGCCGGCUGAAAACCCGGUCUUUUGGAAUCCAACCAGAGGACUGCAGGUGAGAGAGAAGCAGGGAUACACAUCACCAGAAGGUUGUGUUCCAGCAGUGGGAAAGCUUCGAGAAGCUGCUAAAAGCGUUCUACACUGCAUUUUUCUCUGACCAGACUUCACGUGAGUGAUCAAAUGACAGGCCAUUAUUUUUUGUAUUUCCGAGGAAGUAAUAUUUUUGCUACUUGUAAGUGACUAUUUGUAAUUUUUGCUAUUAUAGUAAGCACCUAUCCAAUCAAUCUUGAUUUUUAAAUCUCUUUUAGUCUCUUGAACAAAUACGUUUACAAGAAAAAUCAGGUUUGUUUAGAAUCAUGGAAUGAUUUAGACUGGAAGGGACUUUGAAGGUCAUCUGGUCCAACCUCCUACUCAAAGCAGACCUAACCUACUAAGAUGGGUUGGUUUUCUAUUAAAAUUUUUUUUUAUUCAAUAGCAGUAUUUUAUGGCAAUAGUUCUUGCUGAAGAGCUUGUUCUAAACCACUUUCCAUUUACUAAUUUCCCCUGUUAACUUUGCUGCUGUAAAUAUUCCCUGUAGUCACCUUUGGAAUCAACAAUCCCUGUUCACAAUUUAUUCUCUUGCCUCUUGCAUUGACAAUGGCAAAGAAUAGAGACCAACCUGAAUAUGCAGAGUAAAAUACAGUUGGGAAAAUGGGGUUUAUUAUCCCAUAUUCUGAAGAAUGACCAUACCUCAGUCCAGGAUUAUUGCUUUGAAGCUAAAGGAAAUUAAACCAUUCUUCUACCUUUAGGCCCAAAAGAAAAUGACUUCAUUUCCGUGUAUUUCCAGAGACGAUGAGCUGCUGAUCUAUGAUUCUUCUCAACUUAUAGGACAGCUGAACAAAAUGUAAAAACCAAAGGCCUGGCUUUGCUCUCAGUUGUUCUGGUAUAAUCCAAGCUCAGCUUCUCUGGUGUUAAUGAAUUUAUUCCAGUUUUACUGUGCUGUGAUCAAACCAGAAUAUAUUGUAUAGUUUGCAUGAAAGAAUUGGGCCAUUUUCUUCUGUUUUCAGAUGAUGAACUGUCUGUUGGUUGGUCUGUAGCCUCCCUUUCUCACCCUUUCCCUCUUCUAUAAUUUAAAAAAAUGUGUAUUUGCAAAAGAACAACGACAAACUCUACCUGAA
rnacentral:lncRNA from 1 species